CGGAGACGAAGUCCAGUACAAUUUUUUUUGAAGCUACAAGAAUUAUUACUGCUGUUCUUCCUGUAUGUUUCAUCUCAUAUUAAUUUGGGGAUAAAGAGUAAUUAAAACAGCGAUGCUUACAGUUUGAUACCACAACCCCAUCAAAAUCUGACAUUUUGAAUUAAUUUUUGAAUUAAUUUUUUUAACACAUCAGGAAAUUUAACUGUCUUAUUUAAACAUUGCAAAAUUUUUCAUCACCAAAACCUCUUUAUAAUUAGUCCCUAAAGGUGAAAUUCACUCCUGUACAGACAGCUUUGCAUGGCUCUUUGUCAUAUAAGUACUGCUUUAUGGAAACUGGGGGCAAUGAUGAAGUGUAAUUAAAACAGUCUAACUUGUACUGUCAAAACCUUGUAGCUAGCCUUUUGCAGAUGCAAUCAGUGGCGAGCUCCUCUCUCACAUGAAUGCAAUUUGGAAACCUUGAAAUUGUCAGUGUCUUGGUAAAACAGAAAGGGUUAAAUGAUGAGUUGUGUGAUACAUGAAUGAAUAUUGCAGAUAAUAAUUGAUACUUGAAAGAUAUAGUUCAACAGAAAAUAGAAGGGUGGAAAUAAUGACACUAGAGGAUAUUUCACCAUAAACACUGACAUGAUCAUUCUUUUUCCUUCAGCAGAGGCAGCUGGGUCAGCAGUUACAGUGCAGUACAGCAAGAAUGCUGUGAGAGAGGGGCCAGCCAAUUACCUAUCACUUCCAUAUCUGUGGCAAGCAGUACAGCCCAGACUUGGAAAAAUCAUCAAAGCUGUACAUAAACAGGGAAAAAUACAUAUAGCUGGGAUUUCCCCUCCUGUGCACCAGUGAUGUUAUUCCCGAUGAUUGUUG
rnacentral:lncRNA from 1 species